CCCAAACAGCCUCAGCACAGCCGGAACUGUCUCCCCUCCCCCGCACCUCCCCCUUGGCUUUUUCCUGUGCCUCAGCACAGCAACCCGGCCAGCAACGCAGAGCGGCUGCGGCUGCUGCGGGCAGAGCUGAGCGGAGCAUCCUGGACCCUGGCGGGACAGGACCGCAUCGCCCAGCCCCAGGGGUCAGGCGACCCACAGCAUCGCUUACCCCAAGGGGAGGAUAAAGAGUGGCCCAGGGGUGCUGUGCUGUGUGAUUUCGGGUGUGGGGGAGACGGCAUCGCAAUCAAAGGGGUCGUGGAAAACCAUCCUCCCACCCUGGGGAAGAGCGGGUGUCCCACCCGUGAUUUGGCUGUGCACUCCUGGGGAAGGGAGCACUGACAGCAGUGUAUCUGCCCCCAAAAUAGGGCUUUCUGGCCCCAAAUCGGCCUCUGCAUGGAAGAAGGGGGAGAGACGGUGGCACCUGGUCCCAUGGUGAGAGAGGAGAUGGGCGGCUCUGGGCGCAUCCAUGCAGAGAAGCAGUUUUCUUCCUCCCAAGGAUGGCAGCGACCCUGCCCACUCUAGCCAGCUGCUCCAGAGCCAGACUGAGCUGACGGGAUGGAGUAACAGAAAGCCAAUCCCCAACAGAGGAACCGGAGACCCCAGGAGACCCUUGCAGAGGACAUGGGAUGGAGAGUAGGAAUGAGAGCAGGGACACCCUGAUCUCCUUGUCUGCAUCCAGGAGGGCUGUGGCUGGACAACCCUGUCCUCUUGCUUUCAGCUAGGUGACCCAUUGCUAUAUGGAAUGGUCCCAUCACCUUGUCAGCUGGUGCCCAGGAGAUGGGGAGAUCCCUACUGGGAAGGUGCCUGGGCUUGCCAGAGACCACUUUAAGGUCUAGGGUGGCCGUGAUGACACAUAAGUAGCCACAGACCUGAAUUUGGCCAAGAAGUGAUAGUGAUACUCUCACUUCUCUAUCCAAACCCUAGAUAAACCUCUUCUGGACCAUCUAUCCAUUCACAACAUUCAGAAACUGUGUGAUGUGACCCUCACCACCAGUUCACAGCCAGGACAUUAUUAAUGCAACUCUAACCCAACCCUGCAGAGUGGCACGGGAGAAACCAACUACCAUCUUAUAUCAAAGCAGCACUGUGGUGUAACAAUUACAGCUUAGAUACUCAGUUUUGGCUAUCAGUGAUACAUUGACUGCCCCAACAGACCACCUGGGUUCUAAAUGCAUUGGAGAUUAGUGCUGGUUUAAGGUCAGAAAGUUAUAGGGCAGCUACAUCAACAGAAAAGGUGGCAACAACCACGCCAGCAAGCAGCGGUGAUACCAUUUCUAUGGUGUUCCUGCAGAUCUUUGCUGUGGUGGCCACCAUGGGCAGCUCUAAGUAUUUCGGAGGAAAGCAGGAGAUAAGGAGAGAAAAGGGAAUGGGAAGUAGGUCCCACUGCACAAAGAAGAGGAAAGGGAAGAGGAAGAUGAAACCAAAGAACCAAGCUCUUCAUAAAAUACCUGGAGCACCCCAAUGGCUAUGGGCCGUCUCUCAUGCUAGGUCAUGAAAGCCUGGUAAAGGACUUGAAGGUGGUCUUCAUCCCUGUGAGCCUGUGUCUGGCACGGCAAAGCCAAGCAGCUGCUGGCUCUUCUGGAAACCAAGGCAGAAAUAGUCUGGCCAAAGAGACCAGAUUUCCCAGUCGUGGUCAGGCUUUAGUUGGAGCUUCCUGCACCAAGGCUUGUUUUGGCUCCACUAACCAAAUCUGAGCAGCUUCCAAGCUCAACCCCAGCUCAGGAACAAGAGAAACCCACCUGACUCCUUCACAUACCCCCACACCCACACACCCCCAACUCCCCCAAAACCUAUUGGGAAAGUGCAAUUUCCCCAAAGCUUGCUUUCCUCCAGGAUGCAAAACUGGAAGGGACAAGGACCAGCCCCAGGCCAGUUCCCAGACACUGGGUUUCACCAAGAUCUCACUGUUUUCUCCUACUUUAUAAACAGGCAGCUCCUAUCCCCUGGUCACCAACAUCUUUUAUGAAGCUCUUUGCAGUUUUCCCCUCUUCGCUUUUUAACAGCAGCAACUUCUCCCUGCUGUGCAAGAGCAAAUAAUAAUGUAAUAUCUAGCUAUUUAGCUAGCAGAAAAAUACAAGGAAAAGAUGAUAUUCCUUAGGAACAGAGGGCCCUUUUUUAUUGAGGUGCAUACAUACAAAGGCGAGGGAAGGAUGUGCAGAGGAAGAUGGACUUCUACAGUAUCUUUGAGGUGCUGAAAGGUACCCAGCCUGGAAAAUGUCAAAGGAUUUAAGGAAGGGUGAUUUAAAGGCUUUAAAGACAGAUGAUGGGAUGACGUAAAGCCUGAAACAGGAGAUGGUUUGACUGAGGAGUGGUGGGAGUGAGUGGAUCAUGGACCUAUUGAGUAAAC